CCCAGACUCCUACGGGAGGCAGCAGUGAGGGAUAUUGGUCAAUGGCCGGAAGGCUGAACCAGCCAUGCCGCGUGAAGGUCAGUGCCCUAUGGGCGUUAAACUUCUUUUGUGCGGGAGCAAUAAUGGUCACGUGUGGCCAGACGAGAGUACCGUACGAAUAAGCAUCGGCUAACUCCGUGCCAGCAGCCGCGGUAAUACGUAGGUGGCAAGCGUUAUCCGGAUUUACUGGGUGUAAAGGGCGAGUAGGCGGGAUUGCAAGUCAGAUGUGAAAACUAUGGGCUCAACCGAUAGAGUGCAUUUGAAACUGCAGUUCUUGAGUGAUGGAGAGGCAGGCGGAAUUCCCGGUGUAGCGGUGGAAUGCGUAGAUAUCGGGAGGAACACCAGUGGCGAAGGCGGCCUGCUGGACAUUAACUGACGCUGAGGCGCGAAAGCGUGGGGAGCAAACAGGAUUAGAUACCCCAGUAG
rnacentral:rRNA from 1 species